AACGAACGCUGGCGGCAUGCCUAACACAUGCAAGUCGAACGAGACCUCCGGGUCUAGUGGCGCACGGGUGCGUAACGCGUGGGAACCUGCCCUUAGGUUCGGAAUAACUCCCCGAAAGGGGUGCUAAUACCGGAUAAUGUCUUCGGACCAAAGAUUUUUCGCCUUUGGAUGGGCCCGCGUUGGAUUAGGUGGUUGGUAGGGUAAAAGCCUACCAAGGCGACGAUCCAUAGCUGGUCUGAGAGGAUGAUCAGCCACACUGGGACUGAGACACGGCCCAGACUCCUACGGGAGGCAGCGGUGGGGAAUAUUGGACAAUGGGCGAAAGCCUGAUCCAGCAAUGCCGCGUGAGUGAUGAAGGCCUUAGGGUUGUAAUGCUCUUUUACCCGAGAUGAUAAUGACAGUACCGGGAGAAUAAGCUCCGGCUAACUCCGUG
rnacentral:rRNA from 1 species